UUCCAGGGGCGGGAAUCGAACCCACAACCUUCUGCUUACCGGGCAGGUGCCAUGUCCACUAGGCUACCCUGGA